rnacentral:rRNA from 1 species
AUCUGCAGUCGAGCGACUGAUUAGAAGCUUGCUUCUAUGACGUUAGCGGCGGACGGGUGAGUAACACGUGGGCAACCUGCCUGUAAGACUGGGAUAACUUCGGGAAACCGAAGCUAAUACCGGAUAGGAUCUUCUCCUUCAUGGGAGAUGAUUGAAAGAUGGUUUCGGCUAUCACUUACAGAUGGGCCCGCGGUGCAUUAGCUAGUUGGUGAGGUAACGGCUCACCAAGGCAACGAUGCAUAGCCGACCUGAGAGGGUGAUCGGCCACACUGGGACUGAGACACGGCCCAGACUCCUACGGGAGGCAGCAGUAGGGAAUCUUCCGCAAUGGACGAAAGUCUGACGGAGCAACGCCGCGUGAGUGAUGAAGGCUUUCGGGUCGUAAAACUCUGUUGUUAGGGAAGAACAAGUACAAGAGUAACUGCUUGUACCUUGACGGUACCUAACCAGAAAGCCACGGCUAACUACGUGCCAGCAGCCGCGGUAAUACGUAGGUGGCAAGCGUUAUCCGGAAUUAUUGGGCGUAAAGCGCGCGCAGGCGGUUUCUUAAGUCUGAUGUGAAAGCCCACGGCUCAACCGUGGAGGGUCAUUGGAAACUGGGGAACUUGAGUGCAGAAGAGAAAAGCGGAAUUCCACGUGUAGCGGUGAAAUGCGUAGAGAUGUGGAGGAACGCCAGUGGCGAAGGCGGCUUUUUGGUCUGUAACUGACGCUGAGGCGCGAAAGCGUGGGGAGCAAACGGGAUUAGAUACCCUGGUAGUCCACGCCGUAAACGAUGAGUGCUAAGUGUUAGAGGGUUUCCGCCCUUUAGUGCUGCAGCUAACGCAUUAAGCACUCCGCCUGGGGAGUACGGU